UCUGAUUUUAUUUCUUUUAUUUCCUUUAAUUUCAAAAAUUCAUAACUUCUCUAUUUUUAAUCCAAAAAAUAUGGGACCAAUUGCAUUCUUCUCCAUUUAAAUUCUAGUUUCUAAAAAUGAUUUUUAAUAUUUUUUAUUUUGUCAUUUGAUAUUUUUUUGUGAAUUUUCUCUUUUCUGGUUAUUUUUAAUUCAUUUUAAAUAGUUUUU
rnacentral:lncRNA from 1 species